UUAGGUUGAUGCAAAAGUAAUUGUGGUUUUUGCCAUUAAAAGUGAUUGGCAAAAACCACAAUAACUUUUGCACCAACCUAAUAA
rnacentral:miRNA from 1 species